rnacentral:rRNA from 1 species
AUUGAACGCUGGCGGCAGGCCUAACACAUGCAAGUCGAGCGAGCGGCGGACGGGUGAGUAAUGUAUAUGUACUGCCCGAGAGAGGGGGAUAACGGCUGGAAACGGUAGCUACUACCGCAUACUAUCGGACUACCCAUAAGGGAUUAGCUAGUAGGUGAGGUAAUGGCCCACCAAGGCGACGAUCCCUAGCUGGUCUGAGAGGAGGAUCAGCCACACUGGAACUGAGACACGGCCCAGACUCCUACGGAGGCAGCAGUGGGGAAUAUUGCACAAUGGGCGCAAGCCUGAUGCAGCCAUGCCGCGUGUAUGAAGAAGGCCCUAGGAUUGUAAAGUACUUUCAGUCGGGAGGCGUUACCGACAGAAGAAGCACCGGCUAACUCCGUGCCAGCAGCCGCGGUAAUAC